rnacentral:rRNA from 1 species
UUGUUGGUAAGGUAAAAGCUUACCAAGGCUUCGAUCAGUAGCUGGUCUGAGAGGACGACCAGCCACACUGGGACUGAGACACGGCCCAGACUCCUACGGGAGGCAGCAGUGGGGAAUUUUGGACAAUGGGGGCAACCCUGAUCCAGCCAUGCCGCGUGAGUGAAGAAGGCCUUCGGGUUGUAAAGCUCUUUCAGCCGGAACGAAACGGUUACGGAUAACACCCGUGACUACUGACGGUACCGGAAGAAGAAGCACCGGCUAACUACGUGCCAGCAGCCGCGGUAAUACGUAGGGUGCGAGCGUUAAUCGGAAUUACUGGGCGUAAAGCGUGCGCAGGUGGUUUUGUAAGUCAGAUGUGAAAGCSCCGGGCUCAACCUGGGAACUGCGUUUGAAACUACAAGACUAGAGUGUGGCAGAGGGGGGUGGAAUUCCGCGUGUAGCAGUGAAAUGCGUAGAGAUGUGGAGGAACACCGAUGGCGAAGGCAGCCCCCUGGGUCAACACUGACGCUCAGGCACGAAAGCAUGGGGAGCAAACAGGAUUAGAUACCCUGGUAGUCCAUGCCCUAAACGAUGUCAACUAGUUGUCGGGCCUUUACGGGCUUGGUAACGUAGCUAACGCGUGAAGUUGACCGCCUGGGGAGUACGAUCGCAAGAUUAAAACUCAAAUGAAUUGACGGGGACCCGCACAAGCGGUGGAUUAUGUGGAUUAAUUCGAUGCAACGCGAAAAACCUUACCUACCCUUGACAUGUAUCGAAGCCCGCAGAAAAGCGGGGGUGCCCGAAAGGGAACGAUAACACAGGUGCUGCAUGGCUGUCGUCAGCUCGUGUCGUGAGAUGUUGGGUUAAGUCCCGCAACGAGCGCAACCCUUGUCAUUAAUUGCCAUCAUUUAGUUGGGCACUUUAAUGAGACUGCCGG